rnacentral:rRNA from 1 species
AACGUAGGUCACAAGCGUUGUCCGGAAUUACUGGGUGUAAAGGGAGCGCAGGCGGGCGAUCAAGUUGGAAGUGAAAUCCAUGGGCUCAACCCAUGAACUGCUUUCAAAACUGGUCGUCUUGAGUAGUGCAGAGGUAGGCGGAAUUCCCGGUGUAGCGGUGGAAUGCGUAGAUAUCGGGAGGAACACCAGUGGCGAAGGCGGCCUACUGGGCACCAACUGACGCUGAGGCUCGAAAGUGUGGGUAGCAAACA